rnacentral:rRNA from 1 species
GUAGGGAAUAUUGCGCAAUGGACGAAAGUCUGACGCAGCGACGCCGCGUGAGUGAUGAAGGCCUUAGGGUCGUAAAGCUCUGUUGAAUGGGAAGAAAAAAAUGACGGUACCAUUCGAGGAAGGACCGGCUAACUUCGUGCCAGCAGCCGCGGUAAUACGAGGGGUCCUAGCGUUGUUCGGAAUCAUUGGGCGUAAAGGGUGUGUAGGUGGCCAUGUAAGUCAGGUGUGAAAGCCCCGGGCUCAACCCGGGAAGUGCACUUGAUACUGCGUGGCUUGAGUACCGAAGAGGGUAGUGGAAUUCCAGGUGUAGUGGUGAAAUACGUAGAUAUCUGGAGGAACACCGGUGGCGAAGGCGGCUACCUGGUCGAGUACUGACACUGAGACACGAAAGCAUGGGGAUCAAACAGGAUUAGAUACCCGGUAGUCC